CAGAAUUGACAUGGCAAAAAAUUAUUUGAGAGAAUUACAUUGUCAAAAUGGCUAAUGGAACAUCAAUCCUGAUUCUAAUGGAACCCUAUAAGGUUUAUAAUAUGCUAUAAUAAGCAAAAGUAUUUACAACAAGUUCAAAAGCUCCUUCUUCAAUCAUCAGCUUCCAUUCAAUCCCAAUCGGUAUCACCAAAUUCAUCAUCUCUUCUGAUGUUUCCUUAAUUGUAACUAAUGAAUGUUGCGCAUUAGAUGGCAUAUCAAUUUCAUCACCAUGUACAUCUUCUCUUGACCAUCUGACAUCAACAUCAUGUAAUCUCUGGGAUGAACCAAUGUCAUCAUUAGACACCCUCCAAAAUGUAUGAUAAGAUUCACACCAAGACAAUGGGAAUUGCUUACCUUGAAGAUGGGAGAAAGUUGGGGGUCUUGAGAGAGUGGAGAGGAGCCCCAAGAAUCGGCUCCAAGAGAGAGUGGAGAGGAGCCACUUCUUGAACGACAUUCGUCGGAAAAAAGUCACCGAAAAGUUAGUCGGGGUGAUGGGGAUCUCGUCGGAACCGGCUGGAACAAUGUGGGUCCGGGCAAUUUUGAAGAGGCGAGUGCCAAAACGGGAACUUCUGG
rnacentral:lncRNA from 1 species